rnacentral:tRNA from 1 species
GGAGAGGUACCCAAGUGGCUGAAGGGGGCAGUUUGCUAAAUUGCUAGGGGGGAGAAAUCUCCCGCGAGGGUUCGAAUCCCUCUCUCUCCGCCA